GAUGUUAUACUUUUAUUACAAAUGAUUAAUUCUUAAGUUAAUAACUUUCCAUAUCUCUAUUUAAAAAGACAAUCAUUGCAACCUUCUGUUACCAAAUGCUAUCAGUUUUGAAUUUAUAGAAAAUCUUUUAAAGUAUUCUAUAAGUGCUUCAAGUGAUUUGUAUUAAUCAUGAAAGAUUCCUAAUUUUUUUCUUAAUUGUAAUUAUGAUUUAAGUUAUUUGUAGAAUUUUUAAUACGUUAAUUUGCAAAAAAAAUUGAAUCCAAGCUCAAAGAGUAUUAAUUUGGCAUAAAAGCAGUCCUCUAUUUACGAUGAAGAUCAUAAAUUAUCAUAAUGAAAAUUUUUGAUUCUAAUCCACCGAUGAUAAGUUUAAUCUUUCAAACUUAUUAUCUAUAACUAUAACCAUCAACAAAAGAUUUAAUUGUAUAACUAUGAAUUUGCAUAAAAAACAUCCUUGCAGAGCUAUAGCUACAAAGAAAAUUACAAAGAAAAAACACGGAGGAAAGAAUAUAUUCAGUUGGGAGGAGGAUUGCAAAUCAGAUAUUGAAUCAAUAACAAAAUUCAUAAGUGAGACAACCACUCUAGCUUUUAAAAGCAUGAAUAAAAAACCUAAGAAGAUCAAUUCAUCAAAAAACAAAAGUCGUAAAGAGUCUAAGAAAACCUUCAAAAAUAAAACAAAACCUUUAAUUUUUUCAAGUGAAUGUUCAAAGAAAACAUAUGAAACAAGUACCCAUGAAAGCACUUCACCAAUGAUUUCACCCAGAGACUCUAAAUGUAUCACUAGAGAGUAUAAGAGUGGUGGCCUUUCCGAAAACCUUAGUAGUAUUUUUACCAAUUCGGAAGUUGAAAGUGGUGAAAAUGAUGAAACAUUAUCUAUUACCAUUGGAAGUACUUUGAAAGAAGAGCAAUACAUAAUUCAAAAAAAGUUGGGUAGUGGUGCCUUCUCUACCGUGUGGUUGGCAUGGGACAAGCAACAUGAUAAACAUGUUGCCCUAAAAGUCCAAAAUUGUUCAAGAGAUUGUUUGAAGGUGGCUCAAGAAGAGAUUAAAAUUCACCAAGAGGUUGCGGCAUGUAGAAAAAAAGAUGGUGAAGUAGCCGUAGUUACACUUUUAGACCAUUUUGAUUACAAUGUAUCACAAAAUCGGAAGCAUGUGUGUAUGGUGUUUGAGUAUUUAGGUGACAAUUUGCUCACACUCAUUAAAGCUAAUAAACAUAAAGGACUUCCUCUUUAUGUUGUCAAGGGAAUAACUAAAUACAUAUUAGUAGGUUUAAACUACCUCCACAAUGACCUCAAAAUCAUUCACACAGAUUUAAAGCCUGAAAAUAUUCUACUAACAUCUCCCUUGGAUCCACACCAUGAUCCAAGGAUAUUUUUCACUAGAAAAAGUGACAACAUAUCAACCAAAAAUAUUAAAAAGAAUUUUAAAAAAAAUAUGCCAAAAAGAGAAAAAAAAUUAAAUGAUUUUUAUCACAAGAGUAAAAAUCAUCAUCAAUAUCAUAAACAUGAUAAUUAUUACAAUAAAAACCUACAAAAACUAAAUUUGGUUCAAAAUUCUUUUGAGCCUCCUCUUCUUACAAACACUUUAGAAAUUGACAACUGUGCAAAUGAUAGGGACAAAAUGACAAUGAUUGAAGUGCAAUCCUAUUUAGAACAAGAUGAAAGACUAGCUAUUGAUUCGGAUCCAGACAUUGCAAGAAAUGACAAUACAAACAUAGAAUUCAAAACACCAUCACCAAACCAUAAAGUUGAAUAUCCACAAACGUCCACCUAUUUGUACGGUGAGUCUCCUCAUGAAUUGGGUCUUCUUGACCUUCGUUGCAAAAUCAUAGAUUUAGGGUCCGCAUGUUGGACCCACAAAAUCCUCACUAGUGAUAUUCAAACUCGACCAUAUCGGUGCCCGGAAGUAGUUUUGGGGUGCAAUUAUUCUACCUCCGCGGACAUGUGGUCUUUUGGAUGCCUUGUAUUUGAAUUGGCCACGGGGAACACCUUGUUUGAUCCUCAAACGGGAGGAAGUGAAUACAAUCGAGAUGAAGACCACUUGGCACAAAUGAUGGAAAUUCUUGGUCCCAUUCCGAAAAGCUUGAAAGAAAAAGGAGCAAAUGCACAUCAUUAUUUUACCAAAAAUGGAAAAUUGAAGCAUACAAAGCCAAGCGGCCAUUUUCCAAUCCACAAGUUGCUUGUGAACGAGUAUGGAUUUGAUGAAAUUAAUGCUAAAGAAUUUGCCAAGUUCAUUCUUCCCUUGUUGGAGCUUAACCCCAACAAAAGGCCAAAUGCUGCUUGUUGUUUAGAACAUCCAUGGCUCAAAUAUUCUACUAUGGACUCACCCCAGCACUUAGUUUAAAACAUUUUGCAUUUGAAUGAAUCAAAUUUUGGAAUUGUAGUACUGCAAAAGGUACAAAAUAAAAUUUACUCAGAGUGUGCCUUUUGUUUUAGUUUUUAUUCAAAAUACAUCAAUAAUUAUGAAAUAUGAAGUUUCAUUUGUUAAUAAAAUAACAAUCACUUCAUGUAUAUAUAAACCGAUUUUUAUAAUUCACCUGAUUAAAUUCAUGACUUCUUUAUUCAAAUAUAAGUUUGAGUUGUUUAUAUUGUGUUUGUGAAUAAAUUUCAAUUAUGAGAAAUACUUAUUUAAGAUUAAAAACAAGAAAGAUAUUUUUGAAGUAAUAAAUAGAUCCAUGUAUAUUGGAACAUUUGACUGGUUUCAGCAUAUUAAAAAAGAAACAAAAACUCAACUAAUUUUGUGCUUAUUUUCAUGUAUUUAAAUAUUCAAAUUAUGCCCAUUAAUUCUAUUUGAGUUAAACAUCUUAAAAUUCAAUUACCAUUUGAAAUUAAAAUAACACACAAUGAAAAAUGCUACACUCUUUUAGUAUUUCUUCAGCAACAAAUACAACCAUGAGAGUACAUGUAUGGCUUCUCAAAUAACUUUUUUUUCAGAGUUUUAAGACCUUGUUUACAUGAUAACAGAACACAUCUAUUUUUGUCAAUUUAAAAAUCUAAAAUUAUGCAUUCAUCAAACUAGUUGAUUAAGUUAACCAUGUUUAUAAUAAAAAAAAACUUGAAGAAUUUCAAGAUGAGUAGAAUUAUCACACAAUAAUGUAACAAACCUUGGUUUCAAUAAACCAUUAUGCUUAACAACAAUCAAGUACAAAGUAAUAAAAUGUAGAAUUGAAGAAACAAUCCUUUAAUAACAACAAUGUAAAAGGCAAUAAAUUUUAAGUUGAAUAGCACUUCUUUUUUUUAGUAGAAUACGUGCCAGCUGAAAAUAAAAUUUCCCAACUUCUGAAACGACUAAUACAUUAGACCCAUGUCUCAAAGAUUUUAUCAACCUUAAACUGAUGUUUUUAGAUCUGAUUCAUAACCUUAAAACAAGGUUUACUUAAUAAAAAAUAUUGGAACAUUUAUUUAUAUAUAUAUAUAUACUAUUGUAAACAUUAUAAUUUCUCAAAAACAAUUGCAUCAACAAAGCAAAAACAAAUCUGAGAUAAUAUUUUCCUGCUCUAUCCCAACCAAUGGCGCUAUCCUUCACGUUCUCACAGAAAGAAGGCAAAAAGGGGAAGAAGAAGAAAACUACCCUGGUGGCAGCCACGUCAGCAAGUACACAACGAAGGGAAGGGAACGUGGUGUGAUAACCAAGCUUGAAAGUGCGCAAAGUCAUAGGAAGCAAGAUCGAUAGACCCGGUGCCAAGUGAUGUCAUGGGAAGCUCUCAUACACAAAGCUCUUUCGCAGCUCCGCUUCAAACGGAGAGAGAGACAGAGACAAAGAAGAAGCAAGAAGAAGAUGAAGAUGAAGAUCUUAGAUACUUUAUUAUGCAGCGUGUCUCGUGUCCUCCGGUGUAACGACGCAACAAGAAGCAUUGCUCACGAUUCACGCACAUCAUGCAGCCUGAGAAUGGAGCUUGCUUGUUUGCUUACUUGCUGACUUGCUUAGGGAGACGUGUAUCCAUGGAUGAUGACAGUAUUGAAAAGUUGCUAACCAGGGGGAUGGAUAUUCCUUGAAAGGGAGAUGGCGAGUUCCCACAUAAUGUGGACAACCACGAGCCUAACACUUGCCGCGCUUCUCUUCCUAUGGCGUCUUUACCGUGCGACGUCACGAAUGUUGAAUCUCAGUAAGUCGGAACUUUACCAUCAGCUGCUCCAGCGACGAAACUGUGGCCUCGGUCUCGCCUCGUCUCGCCCGUGGCCUUGUCGCUGUUGCUGCGAUGUGUGGCAGGUUCGUUGGAGGCUUUUUGAGACGUUCAGCGGGUGCAAAUUCUGGUGCCGAGUUCCGCAGGUAUUAUAUUUCUUGGAUGUUUUGCCUUGCAGUUUCUCUACAUGAAGUCAACGUGUUUUGAAUUCGAGGCUCGAUGGUUUCCAACUUCGUAGUGUUCCCUCUCUAUCGUGUCCGGCUGCGAAGUACUUCCAGAAGCUCACAUGUUUCUGUGAAUUGAGAGCGUUCAAGAGAAUCGUCUGUUUUGAUCAAGUAUCUCUCAUAGAGUUUACAGCUACAGGACAUAGACAAGAGCUUAAUACCUCCAAAUGCUCAGCGACAUUUGAAGGUUUUGUCUAGUUUAAGGUAUUAGUGUGUUCAUUUCUGAAACGCUCAAAAUUUGUCGGACUUUUGUAUUUCGAGAUUUUAUUUGUAGCCUUAUUUCUCAGCUUGUAUCAUUUUUUGAGGAGUUUUCCUGAUCAAGUGUUCUUUCUUCUUUCA